CAGCAGUCAAGAAUAUUAGUCAAUGGCCUAACGGCCGAACCGGCAACUUAGGGAAAUGUAAAUUGAAUUUUUCAAAUAAAGUUUUGUCUAUAUAUCAAUAAUGACGAUAUAUAUAAAUAGUCUUGACUAAUUACGUGCCAGCAGUCGCGGUAAUACGUAAGAGACAAGUGUUAUUCAUCUUGAAUAGGUUUAAAGGGUACUUAGAUGGUUAGAUUGACUUAAUAAAAAGUAGUAUUUAACUAGAGUUUUAUAAAAGAAGACAGUACUCUUAAGUGUAAAGAUAAAAUUUUAUGAUACUAUGAGGACUGGUUAAGGCGAAGGCAGUCUUUUAUGUAAAAACUGACAUCGAAGGACGAAGGCAAAGGUAGCGAACAGGAUUAGAUACCCUAGUAGUCUUUGCAGAAAAUGAUGAAUGCUAUAGGUUAGAUAACGAUCAUUAAUUGACUUUUUAGUCUAUAAGCGAAAGCAUAAGCAUUUCACCUCAAGAGUAAAGUGGCAACGCCGGAACUGAAAUCACUAGACCGUUUCUGACACCAGUAGUGAAGUAUGUUAUUUAAUUCGAUAAUCCGC
rnacentral:rRNA from 2 species